AGCAAAGUACAAAUAAAGAAGUUAUGAUCGCAUCAAGUUGAACUUUGUGUACCCUCCAUAAAUAGAGGCUGCAAAAGGCGAUGUCGGGGAAUCGAGUUUAAGAAAACAUAUUUCUCAUUAUAAGGUUUAAUAUCAAGGAUAUUAUGCGGUGGCGAUAUCCUACAUGAUUUUACGUUUUUUCAUCAGAGUUAUCAGCGCUAACAUCACAGAACUUUAGUUAACGUAGCAAGGUUUUUGCCUUCGAUGCUAUUUAGAUUCAAGGAAGAACGAGAAAAGUUACUGGACCCAAAGUGCCGCAAAAACGCGACCAGAUGUGAAGAUGGUCUGUCGUUCAGCAGAACCGAAAUUAUCGGAAUACGAAGAGCAGACUAAAUCCACGCCAAUCCA